rnacentral:rRNA from 1 species
UACGGGGGGGGCAAGCGUUGUUCGGAAUUACUGGGCGUAAAGGGCUCGUAGGCGGCCCACUAAGUCAGACGUGAAAUCCCUCGGCUUAACCGGGGAACUGCGUCUGAUACUGGAGGGCUUGAGUUUGGGAGAGGGAUGCGGAAUUCCAGGUGUAGCGGUGAAAUGCGUAGAUAUCUGGAGGAACACCGGUGGCGAAGGCGGCAUCCUGGACUAACACUGACGCUGAGGAGCGAAAGCCAGGGGAGCAAAGCGGG